AUACCGGCAGCUCAAGUGGUGGCCAUUUUUAUUGGGCCUAAAGCGUUCGUAGCCGGUUUGAUAAGUCUCUGGUGAAAUCCUAUAGCUUAACUGUGGGACUUGCUGGAGAUACUAUUAGACUUGAGGUCGGGAGAGGUUAGCGGUACUCCCAGGGUAGGGGUGAAAUCCUGUAAUCCUGGGAGGACCACCUGUGGCGAAGGCGGCUAACUGGAACGAACCUGACGGUGAGGGACGAAAGCCAGGGGCGCGAACCGGAUUAGAUACCCGGGUAGUCCUGGCCGUAAACGAUGUGGACUUGGUGUUGGAAUGGCUUCGAGCUGCUCCAGUGCCGAAGGGAAGCUGUUAAGUCCACCGCCUGGGAAGUACGGUCGCAAGACUGAA
rnacentral:rRNA from 1 species